UAUAAAUAAAACUCUGAUGAAUAUUACUUGUAAAUUGUAAGAAUCAUCAGGAACAGAAUCUAUUAAGACACCAUUUAGCUCAUAUCUAAGUGUUGCUUAAAAAUUUGACUUUAGUUGGUACAGUCCCCAUAGAAGAUGGCAGUUUUCUGUCAAUGUAUAUAAAGAACUAUUUGAAGUUAGUGUAUAUGCUUCCAGAUACUGUAUGGGAUUCUAUUCUCAUCAGUAUAAUUCAAUUUAUAGGGUAUGAAUGGCUGAUAUGUGGGAAAUUGUAAUUACUCAUUAAUGGUGUCACCAGUAAAUUUUGAGAGUAAUCUCUUUGUUUUCAUCAAACUAAUACUCCUACCAGAAAUGUUUGUUCUAAUUAUAAUGAAUUAAAUAAAAAUGGGUUACCAGAGUUGUUGUGUAGUGAAUUGUAAAAAUACUAGCAGAAAAAGUAAGUGUAAAUCGGUGGAUAACUGCAAUUAAAAGGUUUAAGUAAAAAAUCAGAUGAUGAGUUGAGUCCUAGCUACAUUCCAAUAAUAUGUCCUCCAAUUUACAGGUCUCUUAAAAUAAAUGAAUCUUCUGCCGUGAACAGAUACAAAUACAAGCGUUUAUUGAACCAGCGGAUGAAAAUAACAUCACCUUCAAAAUCAAGUAAUAAACAGUUAUGUUGAUACUUGAUACUUUUGAUACUACAACUUGUUGAUAACUAACAAAUUAGUAACGGAUAAUAAAAUUCUUUUAAUAUACAUUAUUGUAACACACAAUGACACUUUUUAGUUUUUAGUCACUUAAUAAAUAUUGCUUUUUCAGUAACUAAUUAUAAAAAUACUGUAUUGACUUUUACACCACUAUACAUCAUAGAAAAUAAAUUAUUAUAUCAAAAUAUUUGCAAGAUCAUUUCCAGUAAAGCUUCGUUUUUCAGAUGUACUUUCAUCUUCUUUGUUACUAGUAUCUAAAUUAUCAGAGACUUUAUUAAAAAGAUGUCAAAGUUUCGUCGAUGUUCCUCAAUUUCUCUCACAUGUCCAGCAAGAACAAGAUUUUUACCCUUGGUCAUAGUUUCUGGUUGAAAUUUUAUUUGAUGGCUGAAAUCCUGUUUUUAUAAUAAUAUCCAUUUCUUUGGUUUAACUAAAAAUAUUGAAAAAAUCAAUUAAUUAAGCAAAUAUUUCCAUAUCCCAUUGAAAAAACAGUUUAAAGCAACUUAACCUCAUAUAUGUUUACUGCAUUCUGUUAUAUAUUUUAUCAUACAUACUUGUGUUUUUGGCUUCUAAAGAUAAUUAUAAAAUUGUAGUAAGUAUUAAAUUGUCACAUUUAUUUUUGACGACUAAUUCAUUACUAUUUAUCAUACUUUUUUUCCAAAAUUUUUCUGUUUACUAUUGAAAAACGUAAUAAAACAUGGUCUGACAGCCUCCCGUAGUUCAUAUUCACUGUGUCACACUCGGAGCGAAUAGUUUUUAGUGGAAUGGGGUCAAUUGAAUUUUAAUUUUCUUAUGUGUAAAGUAUAAGCAGUUUCUUCACCUUGAAAACUGUAUUGGAUUUUAGAGUGAAAUGCAAUGAUCAUAUUUGUCAUAAAGAAUUGCAGCUAUUUCCGAGUCCAAUUGGUUGCACGAUAUCUUAGUCGUGCGUUAGAUUCAAUCACAUGGUUUCCAAGGCUUUGGAGCGCUUCCAACAGUUUAUGGUACCGCGACUUGUGUUUGAGUCUGUGACGUCCGAGGGCUUGAAUCUGAUCUUCAAGUUUUUCUAAUUGCCCAAAUUUCUUUUGGAAGAUGGUUGCCAACCCUCGUGCGUUCUUGAUACCGGCAGGAAUAUGGUGUGGCAAUGAAUAAUCUUCCGGAAUAUGCAAAAAUCUUUUCUAUAGUGUACUGCACGUCUAACUUUCUCAGCACAUCCAUUCGUACUUUAAAACUGCGAUAGAUGACAACGUUGAACAAAUACAAGGUAGCGAUAUAUAUAAACAAGGAUAAAAGUAAGUAUUUAAUUUCAGAAUGAAACUCUGUCAGAAUCAACAUCUUCAAUUUCAAAGUAUUAUUUGAAUAAAGGAAAAGUAUUAGUGCAAACAACAUUUAGUAGCUCAACAUUUUUAUUCAAAUGCGAAUAUAAAGAAAUUGUUUUUGUUUUCACAAUUUUAUAGUGCCUAGAAAUCAGUAUACACUACUCCCAGUGGUAGAUUCGCCAAAUCUCACAGUUUUAGGACAGACAACUUCGCAUAGGCAAUCUUGGGCAUCAUAUCGUAUGCCAGACGUCCUCAACUUUGUAUUAUUUAAUUCCUUCUUUUUAAGCCGCUUGUGCUGAAAUAAAAAUAUAAUUAUUUUAAAUAUAAGUAAUGCGUUUUUAUAAUAUCAAA